GACGAACGCUGGCGGCGUGCUUAACACAUGCAAGUCGAACGAAGUGGCGAACGGGUGAGUAACGCGUAAUCAACCUGCCCUUCAGAGGGGGACAACAGUUGGAAACGACUCCUAAUACCGCAUACUGAAGGUGGGGAUUGCGUCUGAUUAGCUAGGUGGGGGGGUAACGGCCCACCAAGGCGAUGCUCAGUGGCCGGGCUGGGAGGAUGAACGGCCACAUUGGGACUGGGACACGGCCCAGACUCCUACGGGAGGCAGCAGUGGGGAAGCUUCCGGAAUGGACGGAAGUCUGACGGAGCAACGCCGCGUGAGUGAUGACGGCCUUCGGGUUGUAAAGCUCUGUUAAUCGGGACGCGGUACCGGAAUAGAAAGCCACGGCUAACUACGUGCCAGCAGCCGCGGUAAUUC
rnacentral:rRNA from 1 species